AUGUUUGCUUGGGAGCUGUAAUCAU
rnacentral:rRNA from 10 species